rnacentral:rRNA from 1 species
UACGUAGGGGGCAAGCGUUGUCCGGAUUCAUUGGGCGUAAAGAGCGUGUAGGCGGCCAGGUAGGUCGGUUGUGAAAACUGGAGGCUCAACCUUCAGAGGUCGACCGAAACCAUCUGGCUAGAGUCCGGGAGAGGAGAGUGGAAUUCCUGGUGUAGCGGCGAAAUGCGCAGAUAUCAGGAAGAACACCCGUGGCGAAAGCGGCUCUCUGGAACGGUACUGACGCUGAGACGCGAAAGCGUGGGGAGCGAACAGG